rnacentral:rRNA from 1 species
ACAAUGGGCGCAAGCCUGAUGCAGCGACGCCGCGUGGGGGAUGACGGCCUUCGGGUUGUAAACUCCUUUCGUUAGGGACGAAGCCACGCCUUUUUUGGGUGUGGUGACGGUACCUUUGUUAAGAAGCACCGGCUAACUACGUGCCAGCAGCCGCGGUAAUACGUAGGGUGCGAGCGUUGUCCGGAAUUACUGGGCGUAAAGAGCUCGUAGGUGGUUUGUUGCGUCGUCUGUGAAAUUCCGGGGCUUAACUUCGGGGUGGCAGGCGAUACGGGCAUAACUAGAGUGCUGUAGGGGAGACUGGAAUUCCUGGUGUAGCGGUGGAAUGCGCAGAUAUCAGGAGGAACACCGAUGGCGAAGGCAGGUCUCUGGGCAGUAACUGACGCUGAGGAGCGAAAGCAUGGGGAGCGAACAGGAUUAGAUACCCUGGUAGUCCAUGCUGUAAACGGUGGGCGUUAGGUGUGGGGACCGGUUUGGUUUCUGUGCCGUAGCUAACGCAUUAAGCGCCCCGCCUGGGGAGUACGGCCGCAAGGCUAAAACUCAAAGGAAUUGACGGGGGCCCGCACAAGCGGCGGAGCAUGUGGAUUAAUUCGAUGCAACGCGAAGAACCUUACCUGGGUUUGACAUGCACCAGACGGUUGUAGAGAUACGUACCUCCCUUUGUGGUUGGUGUGCAGGUGGUGCAUGGUUGUCGUCAGCUC